rnacentral:misc_RNA from 1 species
GAAACGCGAUAGUUAAUGUGAAUUGCAGAAUUCAGUGAAUCAUCGAGUCUUUGAACGCACAUUGCGCCCAUAGGUAUUCCUUUGGGCAUGUCUGUUUGAGCGUCAUUACAACCCUCAGCUAACCGCUGGUUUUGAACCUGAACGGGUGACACCGCGCCGGUUUUAAAGUUGUAAGCUCUGCUGGCCGCUCUGCCCAACCAGAUCAUAGUAAGCACUACUUGUCCGGGUGAAGCUGAACGGUACGGCCUGAACAAAACCUACCCACUCUCAAGGUUUGACCUCAGAUCAGACAAGGAUACCCGCUGAACUUAAGC